rnacentral:misc_RNA from 1 species
AACGCACAUUGCGCCCGCUAGUACUCUAGCGGGCAUGCCUGUUCGAGCGUCAUUUCAACCCUCAAGCCCUGCUUGGUGUUGGGGCCCUACGGCUGCCGUAGGCCCUGAAAGGAAGUGGCGGGCUCGCUACAACUCCGAGCGUAGUAAUUCAUUAUCUCGCUUAGGGUGUUGUGCGGUGCUCCAGCCGUUAAAGACCAUCUUUAACUCAAGGUUGACCUCGGAUCAGGUAGGAAUACCCGCUGAACUUAA